AUACGUAGGUGGCAAGCGUUGUCCGGAUUUACUGGGUGUAAAGGGCGCGUAGGCGGGAUAGCAAGUCAGAUGUGAAAUGCCAGGGCUUAACUCUGGAGCUGCAUUUGAAACUGUUAUUCUUGAGUAUCGGAGAGGCAGGCGGAAUUCCUAGUGUAGCGGUGAAAUGCGUAGAUAUUAGGAGGAACACCAGUGGCGAAGGCGGCCUGCUGGACGACAACUGACGCUGAUGCGCGAAAGCGUGGGGAGC
rnacentral:rRNA from 1 species